AAACGCGAACCAUGAAUGCAUCAUUUUUUUUGUAAACAAAUAAAAACAAACAAAUCACGAUGAUUCAGAAGCUUGACAUGUUGCAUAACUAUUAAUAAGUUUUGUGUCUCAACAGAUUUAUGGACUAAAUUCAUCCACCGUCCACUGAGAGCUUGACAAUACAAGACAACUGAGGCAAGCUUUUAUAAAACGGGAACCUCUGCUGUCGUCUGUUGUCCGGGCAGUGGUGCGGCGAGCCGGGAUGUGAAGCCUUCCUUACCAUGGGAGCUGGUUGUGAGCCGGCCAGGAGAGAAGCCACGGUCGCUGGCAUGAGAGCUGCACAGCCACUGGCCCGGAGCUGCCGGGAGAUGAAGGACAGGUGGCCUUUUCGAAGGAGCCCAGCAACCGAGAAGGGAAAGGACCAUGCCAGGGUCUAGCAGAUAUUCGACUGCGGAGAACGAGUCCAGGAGAUGGAGAGAUUCAAUCGCUGGAAAAUCAGCUCCUGCCUCUUUAAGACCCUCUUCCCAUUGAAGCCCAGUCUGCUCUGAUUGGCCAGCUGGCCCACUCUGUUGUGAUUGGUCGACCGCUUCCAGUGCGUGUAGGAAGUUCUCUCGCUUUACCCGGCUUUGUUGGAGGUAUGUCUGCGACCGAGAACACGGUACCAACAACCAGAUAAGAACAAGCUCGUUCAUUGGUCCACCGCUUGCGCAUCGCCACGUCUCCU